UAACUCUGCCUGUGUAACCUUAGCCAAUUCACCUAUUUUUCAGCUACAUCUACAGAGAUAUACGGGGACAAAGACACCUCAUUAGUAGAACACUUCAAAUUUGCUGAUGCAGUGCUGUGCAGGAGCUUUAAGGGGGAAGCUGACAGACAGAGAGGAUUUGGAAAACAGCACCAAAAUCAUGGCAGGACACACGGCUCCCGAUUUAAGGUUUCAGAGAAGUGCCAGGUACUUUCAGUGCUUCUGAAUGCUUUCUGUAGUGAAGAUGUAUUUCAAAGGAGGCAACUAUUCCGAAACGGUCGUGUGUCAUUACAGUUUCUAUAUACUGCAAACUUAACCUAUGUAACCACCACUUCUGGAACGUGGAGUCCUGCAUUGGCACCUUUACUGCACAGCAGAUGAGGGUGUUGAUAAUCUGUUGUCAUUAACAGCUGCCUGCCCGCUCCUGGAACGCUGCAGGUAACUGGGAUACAUAGCGUGAUUUAAAGUGUCAUGACAGCAAGACGGUCCUUUGGAUGUCAGCUGAUACAAACAGCUACGUGAGGCUUCACGAAACAAUCAGGAUUGAAACUCCCCCGCCCACAUGUGCCUCUAUUUUCUACAUUGACGUGUUUUCCUGCGUUGGGGCGAGGCUACUGCUUCUUCAUUAGUAUUGUGCCUGGCAAAAAAAAAAUUACACGUGUAAUUGUUUUUUCAAGUUAUAAGUGGAGGCCAAUAAAUACACCCAGCCCAGAGCAAUGCAAAGCACGUGGCCUGGGCUAGAUGAA